rnacentral:rRNA from 1 species
AGUGAACGCUGGCGGUAGGCCUAACACAUGCAAGUCGAACGGCAGCACAGUAAGAGCUUGCUCUUACGGGUGGCGAGUGGCGGACGGGUGAGGAAUACAUCGGAAUCUACUUUUUCGUGGGGGAUAACGUAGGGAAACUUACGCUAAUACCGCAUACGACCUACGGUGAAAAGAAGGGAACCUUGGACCUUGCGCGGAUGAAUGAGCCGAUGUCGGAUUAGGUAGUUGGCGGGGUAAAGGCCCACCAAGGCGACGAUCCGUAGCUGGUCUGAGAGGAUGAUCAGCCACACUGGAACUGAGACACGGUCCAGACUCCUACGGGAGGCAGCAGUGGGGAAUAUUGGACAAUGGGCGCAAGCCUGAUCCAGCCAUACCGCGUGGGUGAAGAAGGCCUUCGGGUUGUAAAGCCCUUUUGUUGGGAAAGAAAAGCAGCAGGUUAAUACCCCGCUGUUCUGACGGUACCCAAAGAAUAAGCACCGGCUAACUUCGUG